ACCUAUUCGUCAACUGACUCUUCAGGAAGAUUGUGCGAUUCUUUUGGAGGAGCAAAAAAAAAAAACCCAAAAAACUGUGUGCAAGAGAGUACUGAGAACGGACAACCGCUAAAUUAGCCUGCCCUUCAGUGGGUCCCCACUCAGAUCUCAAGCUGGUUCUAGCUCAUCUUGUGAAAUUACAAAAAGAAUCAGGGCCGUUUGCCUAUCAGACUGAUUCCACCCAAAAGGGCGCCACAUAUCUGAAACGCAGGCUGGCUCUCUGCACAAGAGAUACAACCACCCCAGACAAUCGUUUCAGCCUUGUUAGGCAUCAUCGGUGAAGAUCUGAACCGCCCUUUUGGGUGGGAUCAGUCUGAUAUGCAAAUUGCCCUGGCUCUUUUUGUAAUGGCACAAGAUAAGCUACAACCAGCUUGAGAUCUGAGCAGGGACCCACCAAAGGCCCGGCUAAUCGAGCUGUUGUCCGUUCUCCUAUACUCUCUUGAACCUUGUGGUUUUUUUUGUUUUUCCUGGAGGAGUAUUUACCAGCCUCCUUGUAUACUCGUUUGUAUAUGAAGCCCAUUAGCAGAAGCCAUAGAGGACCUCUACAUGGAUUCAGUGCUCUGUUUUGUACAUACAUGAGGUUACCCUCACAACCUCUUAUUUUAACAUUGGAGAAUGGCUUGGGAAAUGUCUUUAUCCUGAAGAUUACUCUGCCAUUGUUGAAAACUCACUGAAGAUCGUUGUUUGCACUCCCUAUGGGAAAAAAGUUACAAGUCCCUUUCCUGCCAGUACACAUUUCCCACUUGUCUCAAUCACCUUAAUGGAAUGGCACCCUGGUCACUAUAAAAGUGGUUCUGUAAAACAAACACCCCACACAUUCUUCUCAAUGGAAAAGACGGCGGCUUCAGUCCAUCCAUCUCCUAUAAAAUCUGGUUCGAGGCUAAUUUAAAAAAAGGAGUACUUUACAUUUCCUGCCACUUGCCUUGUGUGGUGGUGAAAAAAAAGUUUGUUUUUUGUUUUCCUCCUCCAGAUCACUUUCCUUCUAUCUUCUCUUCAAUUUCCUAAUUGUUUUUUGGGGCAUUUUAUAUAGCGCCAACGUAUUCUGCAAAGAGUUCCUUUCUCUCCUAUCCUUCCUCCUCUCUCCUUUCCGCCCUUACCUCUUCUCCUUGUUCUGUGAAGUCCCUGAUCAAACCAGUCAGGGGUUUUCAGAAUGUUUAUGUAUAGAACUUUGUUAUACAUUCUUGUAUUCCUCCAUCAUAUUAUGCAACGUUCCUUGGCUCUUAUGUCAAGUCAUAUCUAUUUUUGUUGUGAUGAAUACUAAUAAAACACUUUAAUUUGAA